rnacentral:rRNA from 1 species
GAUCGGGUGUUGGCUUCGGCUCAGCACAUCGGUUGAUGCACUUGUUAUUUGUUGCGCUGGCACGGUUGAUGAUGCCGUUGGAAGUGGUUGUAGAGGUGCUGUUCUUCGGAAGGGUAAACCUGCAAUCAUGAAAGACGUGUUGUUGUUAAUCGAUGUUGUUACAACAACGCAACAGUGAGUGUGCUGUAAGUGUGAGUGUUGACUAUGGGUCUUCGCAUGCGAAGGCCUUAGCCAGUGCUUAUGCUUGUAGUAUUAUGAUCUGAGGCGUUUGUCAGUGUACAUUUGUACUGUCACCUAUCCGUCCCGUCUUGAAACACGGACCAAGGAGUUUAUCGUAUGUGCGAGUUAUUGGGUGAUUAAAACCUAAUGGCGUAAUGAAAGUAAAGGUUUUGCUUGCAAAACUGAUAUGUGAUCCGGAUGUCCUUCGGGGCUUCGGCGCAGCAUAGCCCCAUCUCGGUUGCUUGCAACGGGGUGGAGGUAGAGCAUAUGCNAUGAGACCCGAAAGAUGGUGAACUAUGCCCGGGCAGGAUGAAGCCGGAGGAAACUC